GUACCCUGGUAACUGGCGCGCGCGGUUUCUAUCCAAUAAAAGAGCGCGUGAUGUGUUCGCACUUAUGCGGUGGAACUGUUUUACCCAACAUCCCUACUUUUCAUGGGAUUAUUGCAUUAAUGUAGAAACUAAUUAUUGUGACUAACAUCAGGGUCUUGUCCUUUGGGGUGACUAGUAAGCAGAUGUCGAGGUAAAUGGACCAAAAAAGCACAUUUCUAUUCUAUGGUGAUGAGUGGAUAUUUCCGGAGAAGUACCCAUCACAAAAUCUAUUUGCAUAAUCUUGAUCAGAUGUGAUAAUACAGUACCUGUUCUGAGAAAAACAUGAUAUUCACACCAUUCUUACACAACCUCUCUAAUGAAAUCACAAUUGCCAGGUAAGUGUGCACCAUGAUUAAAAAGUGACUGUUAAAACAUAUAAAACUGAGUGUGUUCAAACAAGAAAGCAAUUUACUGACGCUGUCUAAGUUGUACAUAUUCAAUAUAAGAUUUGCAAGUGUAUUCAUCGAUGUAAUUCUAAUCAGUCAAGACAUGCAUUUUAUGAGUAAGCGGAACAACAAGGUUUCGAUCUGUUUUGCCAAACUAUAUUUGACAUGACUCUUAUGCGAAGUCUUGUGUGCAAAGUGCAAAAUAACUGGACUAAUAAUAACAGUAAUUUCAGGCAUGACUAACUUGCAAUAUUUAUCAUGUUGUGUUUUUGUAAACCCCGCCCCCAGGUUUCUGUUCAUUCUGUAUACGCUCAUGCGCUUUUGCACCAGGUGAGCCAAUACUGACAAAAAACUUUUGGUGUAACAAGCAAGAGGACAAUGGAGCAUCUGCUGUCUAUAAGGCUAAAAUUACAGGUUAUGAAAAGAGCCCCAUUGACUUUUCAGGGGAUGUGUGUGUGGGGGGGGGUAUAAAAGCAUUCCCUGACAAAGCCUGUAACCUCCCACAUAAUAAUAUUUACUUGUGUUGUUUACUCUGUCUCUUUGCCUUUCAGUUUAUUGUUGCUUUUUCUUUGUUUGACAAUAGAAAAAUGAGUUUUAUAUAGAUUUUCUUUUAUGCAUAUCAGAAAUCCGCCUGUUUUCAACACUGUAUUUUUACACCCAAUAGCUAAUAUAGUUGAAACUUCAGUCAGUGGUGUACUUACAGUUAGUUGACUUUGUCACAGCUCACUGUCAUGCCGUGUGCUCUACAUUCCUUU